UACGGAGGGUGCAAGCGUUGUCCGGAAUCACUGGGCGUAAAGGGCGCGUAGGCGGCCCGGUAAGUAGGGGGUGAAAUCCUGCGGCUUAACCGCAGGGCUGCCUUCUAAACUGUCGGGCUCGAGCACGGUAGAGGCAGAUGGAAUUCCCGGUGUAGCGGUGGAAUGCGCAGAGAUCGGGAAGAACAUCAGUGGCGAAGGCGGUCUGCUGGGCCGUUGCUGACGCUGAGGCGCGACAGCGUGGGGAGCAAACAGG
rnacentral:rRNA from 1 species